GAUAAACGCUGGCGGCGUGCCUAACACAUGCAAGUCGAACGAUCCCGCAAGGGAGAGUGGCGGAAGGGUGAGUAACACGUGGGAAUCUACCUCCUCGCAGGGAACAACCUCUCGAAAGAGAGGCUAAUACCCAAAAGGGUCAGAAAUGAUCAGAGUCGAGAGGCGUGAGGAGAGGAGCCCGCGGCCCAUCAGCUAGUUGGUGAGGUAAUGGCUUACCAAGGCUACGACGGGUAGGGGAUCUGAGAGGAUGUCCCCCACACUGGAACUGAAACACGGUCCAGACGCCUACGGGUGGCAGCAGUGAGGAAUAUUGGACAAUGGGCGAAAGCCCGAUCCAGCAACGCCGCGUGGAGGAUGAAGGCCUUCGGGUCGUAAACUUCUUUAGAGGGAGACGAGAAAGGACGGUAUCCCUAGAAUAAGCGACGGCAAACUACGUGCCAGCAGCCGCGGU
rnacentral:rRNA from 1 species